AAGGUCCUAGCUUAAUUAAAGUGUCUGAGUUGCAUUUAGAAGAUGCAGGUUAGUGCCCUGCGGGCCUUA
rnacentral:tRNA from 1 species